GAAUUGCUGAAGUUGUGAAGGUUGAUGCUGUGAAUGCGCUCGGUCAUCCCCUUGCAACUGAUGUCACCUGCAGCAUGUCAACGCAGACACAAAACAGGGCAUGGGUCAGAUCUAGCUGGUUGCAUUCCUAACACCUAGGUUUCAGAGUAAAAAUACAGAGUCAGCUUGUGAUGGCAUUCCCUCAAAACAUGGAAGGAAUUGCAGUAAUGAAAGUCAUCAUGUAUUCUAAGAGACUGUUCUGCGAGAGCACAACACAGACGGGGCUAAAGCAGGGAUUGUCUAAGCCCAGUGUGGAGGAACCAUCAAGGAUUUCAGCACGUUUUUUUAGCCAUUGUACAGUUUGUGAAAAUUAAGUUUUACUCUGUGAAUAAAGAAUUGGAUAGAUAAUUCCAGACAACAUUCUGAAAGACACUUACGCCGUCAUUCCAAAGUUGAAAUGAAAUGAGGGGGAGAAGACUUGCUGGGACUAAGGAAAAAAGUCAAUGAAAUCUGAGUGAGAAGCAAAAGUGCUCAGGAGUUAAGAGAAGCAGACGUCCGAAAUUAUCUCCAUGCAUUACCAAAAACCGUGGGCACCACGGCACGGGGAAAACUUACCAGGUACAAUGAGCCAGUGACUGUUACUGAAUUUCUUAAGAUUACACUUUUCCCAACUACUGCAGACUGCUUCAGAAUAGAAGAAGACAACUCUCAUGCCAUCAAGCCGACGGACUUUCAAAAAAAUAAAAGAUGCAUUUCUUUACUUGAGCUACGGUGAAAGGGCACCUAAGGUGAAUGGACAGAUUGUAGAUGGGUGCACACAGGAAAAUGUACAGCUCCUACAAUGUAUUCUGAGGGCCCAUGAGAAGUAAAAGCAGGCACUGGCAUUCUGCACAGAUGAAAUACUUCCUACGACAGGAAUACAUGCUCACUUGUGGACUUCUCUGUAAUCUGUAGGCAACAUCAGCUCCUGAUUUCUAGGUCUGGAUCUGGGUUCUCUGUAGCACAGGAAGGUCUCUACUUCUCCUACAUAAAUGCCUUGCAUGGCGGGAACUAAAUCAACUACACAGACCCAUACAUCCAGAGAGCAGAGGUGAGCUGGAUACAAGUGGCUUAGAGAUGUGGUGGAAGGAGGCCAGAGCUCCAAGGGAAGGGCAGCAAGGAGACAACAGCAUGGGUUGCAGCUCAGACAACAGGUAAAUAAAACCAAGCAAAGCUGCUGGUCACAGAUUUGACCAGGGUGGCAAGAAAUGACAAGCUACCAUGAGAUUCAACAGUGGCACGGAAGGAUGAUGAGAAGCAAACAGAUUAGGAGAAGCUGCCACCACCGUACAUAGAGGCACAGAUGACCAAGCAGAACAGCACCAGUCCCUGCAAGGUGUGCUCAGAUACAGCUCAGCACAGCCAUCUGGCCAGGAGGGAAUGAUAAUGCACAUGGUGUGCACUGCAGCCGGGAAGUUGAGAACCGCUGUGGGCACCUCAGGACUGAGUCUGGUUACCCUGCUGAUCCAAGAAAUGAAGCCAUCUAAAAUUUUGCCUGCUUUCACAAUUUUCUGUGUGUGUGUGUGUGUAUUAAACAAAGUGAACUAAGAAGC
rnacentral:lncRNA from 1 species